rnacentral:rRNA from 1 species
AUUGAACGCUGGCGGCAUGCUUUACACAUGCAAGUCGAACGGUAACAGGCCGCAAGGUGCUGACGAGUGGCGAACGGGUGAGUAAUGCAUCGGAACGUGCCCAGUCGUGGGGGAUAACUGCUCGAAAGAGCAGCUAAUACCGCAUACGAUCUAUGGAUGAAAGCGGGGGACCGUAAGGCCUCGCGCGAUUGGAGCGGCCGAUGUCAGAUUAGGUAGUUGGUGGGGUAAAGGCUCACCAAGCCAACGAUCUGUAGCUGGUCUGAGAGGACGACCAGCCACACUGGGACUGAGACACGGCCCAGACUCCUACGGGAGGCAGCAGUGGGGAAUUUUGGACAAUGGGGGCAACCCUGAUCCAGCAAUGCCGCGUGCAGGAAGAAGGCCUUCGGGUUGUAAACUGCUUUUGUACGGAACGAAACGGUCUGGGUUAAUACCCUGGGCUAAUGACGGUACCGUAAGAAUAAGCACCGGCUAACUACGUGCCAGCAGCCGCGGUAAUAC